UACGUAGGGUGCGAGCGUUAAUCGGAAUUACUGGGCGUAAAGGGUGCGCAGGCGGCCUUGUAAGUCAGAUGUGAAAGCCCCGGGCUUAACCUGGGAAUUGCGUUUGAAACUACAAAGCUAGAGUGCAGCAGAGGGGAGUGGAAUUCCAUGUGUAGCAGUGAAAUGCGUAGAGAUGUGGAAGAACACCGAUGGCGAAGGCAGCUCCCUGGGUUGACACUGACGCUCAUGCACGAAAGCGUGGGGAGCAAACAGGAUUAGAUACCCUGGUAGUCCACGCCCUAAACUAUGUCAACUAGUUGUCGGAUCUAAUUAAGGAUUUGGUAACGUAGCUAACGCGUGAAGUUGACCGCCUGGGGAGUACGAUCGCAAGAUUAAAACUCAAAG
rnacentral:rRNA from 1 species